UGCCAGCCGCCGCGGUAAUACGGAGGGUGCAAGCGUUGUUCGGAAUCACUGGGCGUAAAGGGUGCGUAGGCGGUCUUAUAAGCUAAGGGUGAAAUCCCAGGGCUCAACCCUGGAACUGCUCUUAGAACUGCAAGUCUAGAGUCCGAGAGAGGUGAGUGGAAUUCCUAGUGUAGAGGUGAAAUUCGUAGAUAUUAGGAAGAACACCAGUGGCGAAGGCGGCUCACUGGCUCGGUACUGACGCUGAGGUGCGAAAGCGUGGGGAGCAAACAGGAUUAGAUA
rnacentral:rRNA from 1 species